rnacentral:misc_RNA from 1 species
UUUCCGUAGGUGAACCUGCGGAAGGAUCAUUAAUGAGUUGUCAUGGGGUCCGAUGCUGGCAGCCAGUUUUUGGAUGCAUGUGCUUGCCCUAACAAUCAUCUUCUUCCAAACACCUGUGCACAUUUUUGAGGGAGUCUUGAGUUGGUUGCCGCUCUUGGGUGAUUUUCUCACAUUCCCUUAAAUCAUUAUACGCUAUUAACAAUGUUGAACGUGCUCUGUGCCGCAAGGCCAUUAAUAUAAUACAACUUUUAACAACGGAUCUCUUGGCUCUC